UAUUUAGAUCUAUUUUUCGUUUCUGUCAGUUGUGCUCAUGGCGAUCUAAACGCGAGACGUGAAUACUCUUUUCUCUAAAAGAAAAAUAAAUAAAUGAAAAAUAAAUAAAAUAAAAGAAGAAGAAUUAUUAUUUCUCCAAAAAAAUUGAAAAUAAAAAUGUUCUGUGAAGUGAGUGAAUUUCAAAAGAUGAUUAUGUUGUAAACGGGUGAAAAAUCAAUUAUUAGUUUCGAGAAAGAUGAUACAUACACGAUUUUUUUAUGACACUUGACGAUGCAACUGGCUGGCAGUCGGUCAUAAAUUAAACUGCAUUGGUUGCACCCCAAUCAGUUCAUGUUUCCAUGGUCAACUUUGUGCUCCGAAACAAUGUUCGACAUGAAGUGUAUACGCGAAUUCAGAAUUGUGUUGAUGCUCUUUACGAGGGACUUUGCUGCCUCUCGUGUUUUAUUUUACGAUUCGUCGCCUCUUUCUUUGACGCAGAUUUGAUUCAACUUGAGAGGCCAUCCGGAAACCUCCGUAACAUCAAACUUGAAGGCAAUCUUCAUAUCACCCGAGUUAUAUAUCCGUCGACUGAAUACUAUUUCCCCUCUUAAAAAAGAUAAAUAAAAUUCUCAACUUAUGGGUGAAGAAUGGGAAACAAAAUUUCAUCUGUAGGCGGAAAUUGGUUUUUUUUUAUUAAUUUGACAAAAAAAAAUUUUUUUCUAUCAAAAAAAAAAAAUAUAACAAAAAUA